rnacentral:lncRNA from 1 species
CUACAAUCAACAAGUAAAUAUCUACAAUCACACAAUGCAAUUAGCAUUUCCAUGGAGAAGUUAGAAGUUGAUCCAAUCAGAAAGACACUUGGAUUUCGAUCUAAUUUAUAAGAGAGUAACCUACUAAUACUGCAAAGUUGACAAAGUGAAUUAGGCAAUAACCACUCCCAUGUAGUGAACUUGUUGUAGGUAUAACCAACUCAUGGUGAAGACAUCCAGCAUAACUGCAAUGAGUUUAAAUGUAUUGUGAAGGCAAAAGACUGGCUUUAACUUUCAUUUUUGCUUCCCGUAGAAGAGAUUCAGAAGAACGCUACCUUAAUUUUUGUUCGAAAACUAAUUUUUUAAUGUACUUCCUAAUCCAAAAGUGCUUCUAGACGAAGCAUCGUUCGACCAGCUUCCGCAAAAAGCUCUUCUUUCUAACUAGAAGAAUCAAAUGAGCCAAUCAUGUCCAAAAGCUGCUUUUGAAUCUCAAAAGCCCUUUUGACUUAACAAAAGCCGCACCAAACAAGCCUUAACAUCUCAUUAAAUUUCAUUCAGGUUAAUCCCAUUACCCACACAGAUUCGCUCCGGAGAAAAAACCAGGUAAGGGUUAGAGGUAGAUUCAGACUCAGCCGAGAACUAAAGCAUUUAUAUAUAGGAAAAAAGAACAAAAUUCAUACUACAAAGUUAUGAAAAUUAAAUAUCUCUUUAAUCCGAGACAUAGAGGUAAUAAAAUCCAUCAAAACUACAUCGCAAUCUCAGUACCAAUGAUUUAAUUCCAAAACAUUAAACCCUAAUGGGAAAUCAAAUCGAAUUCGAAAGAGCGCUAACAAAUAGGGGCUCCGCUUAGAAGCCGAGCUUGGUUCGGCGCCAAUGGCGGCGCUUGGCGNN